AUGGGGUCCAUCCUGUGCUGCCUGUGCGGUCCCGACGACGAUGACGAGGCGCCGGGUUGCUGCGCCUGCCUGCCAUGGCCAGCCAGAGCGUACACACGGGUUGCGCCGGUUCCUCCCGAGGCCUCCACCGGCUCAGGGCAGGAGGAUCCAUUGAACACCUUCCGCCCCCCUCCUAGGGCUCUACCUUACGAUGAUCCUCGGUUCAGACAUCACACGGAGAAAUCUAUUCUGCUCGGAGAGAGAAGCAAUGCUGACACCGGAUCGACUCGCGAUGGUGAUGAGAAGGCUGAUGGACCGUCAAUGGAAGCUCAGCCGGGAGGGGGGAAACCCAGGGGAACUCAAGUCUGUGUUGAUUGUGACGAGGAUGACUGCCCGAUAUGCCUUGAGGAGUAUGACUACGAGAAUCCGAAGAUACUGCUGCAAUGCAACCAUGAUUUCCAUCUUGGUUGCAUCUACGCGUGGAUGGAGAGAAGCCAGUCUUGCCCGGUCUGUGCCGUCGUAAUGGUGUUCAAAGAGGACCAAUGACCAUGCUGGCUGCAAGCCUUUACACAUGCUAAGACCCACGAUAAUCGUUUAGUUGUGUAUAUACACAUGGCGUCGAUGAAAUCAUGUCACUAGCCUUUGGCCAAUUGCGGGGUAAAAUUUGGUGGCAAAUUAUACCAGCAGAGUAAUGACCUUGUUGUAGUCUCUUUUUUUCCUUUUUUGAACUCUUGUUUCUAUUUCUUAAUUAAUGAAUGAGACAAAGCUUUUGCAUCUGUUGCCAAAUAAAAUGAUGUCGCUAGAUUGUUUGCUGAAACUUCGCUGCUAAGAUUCGAGAGCGGCGUUACUGGUAGCGGUAGCAUCUGGACAUGUUAUCCUAGUCCUAGGUCCAUCUCUAGGGAUCUGGGCUAGAGGGUCAGUCUCAGCAUAUACGGGUGUAAAAAAAUGCAGUGAUCUGACGCUAUACUGUAAGGAACAGUGAUGUACGGUAGCCCGCGGGCUCGUUUUUUGAAGCUCAGGUUAAGGUGACGAGCCGAGCCGUGGCUCGCCUCCGUAAUGAAAAGUUGUGCGGAGGAUCAGAAACGUAUGCGCGCCGUCUGCUACGAAAACAUCGCCGUCAAGGUACAGUGAAUGCUGACCGGCGGAUGAAGUGUAGGGCAGCAGAAACAUCUCGGUCCCCAUCUACUCAAUUGAGCCCUUCUCCUCCAUCCCCUCCUAGCUCGAUGGCGGAAGGCGAAUCAAUGGCGGCGGCGAGCAGUAUGGCGGAGUUUCCAGACCUACGCCACAACGGGCUCGAAUUUCUGCUGGAUCCGGUUGACAGGGGAAGCCUGAGCAGCAGAAUAACCGGUCUUGCCAGUGCGAAUGCAAUGGAAUGAUCAGAUUACUUAGAGCUGCAGACAAUGAUGGUUCAUUGCUAACACCGGUCAAGCCACAACCAUUCGUUGUCUCUUACUUGCGGUGAGAAAGUUCAUUGGCCAUCGCACAAGCACAUACUCCCUCUGUACCGAAAUACUUGUAGUUGGGGGAACUUGUACUAGUUUCCCCCAACUACAAGUAUUUCGGUACAGAGGUAGUAGAUGUGUGCACAAAGGAUUUGGUGAAGCAGCUUAGGGCGAACAAUGUGAACUUGAACAAGGUGUACAACAUAGUUGGCAGCUUUUCGGCUCAACCCAAAAUGUGCCUUUCACAAAGCGGACGCUGCGCAAUCUGUGUGGCCGGAUAAGUCGAGACCAGGCUGACGAUGAUGUAAAUAAGACACUAGCUGUGUUCAGAGAGAUGCAGCGGAACGAUCCAGAAUUUACCUACCGAGUACAAGGUCAUGAGGAAAGCAGGAUCAAGCGAGAUAACUAUGUUGUUCUAUGUGCAAAUUUUAGAUCAAGCGAGAGCCAUGGAAGUUGCAAUCAAGACGGAGUUACCCGGGACUGUGCACACCUACUCGGCGGCCCUGAUGGUACGGUCGGCGGCGCGCGUGGAUGUUCUUCCUCCACCGACUCCCUCACGCACCCCGGUGGAAGCUGCCCCAUAGUUGGGUCAGCCGUUUCUCCACCAUGUCCCUCCCAAGCUGAAGAUGGUCUUCCUCCCCUGCCUCCCUCGAACACUGGAGCUGUUGUUCGGUCGCCGUCCACAUCCGCAAGGCCCCCAUCAAGAUCCUCCAAGAAUGAAGGGCCCCAAGAGGAACUAGCUGCAACUACGAGUGAAAGCCACAUCAAGAUCCUCACCAAGAAACAAACGAUGCUGCAGGCACAAGUCUUAGAAAAAUGAACAAGGCGGUAUUGGUGGUUUGUUAGAACUGAACCUUUGAAUCCAGUGAGAACCAGGAUGCAGGUAUUUUGAGUCCAGUGAGAACGGAACCUUUGAAUCCUUUUUUCAGGGCACUGUUCAGAUUCUUCUGAUAGGGCCUAGUUAGUGCUAAAAGCAUACAAUCAUGUUGGGGUACUUGUCAAUUGUCAUAAAGUUCCUGUCAUGUCAAUCCAUUCAGAAAACAAUUGCAGAUUUAUGCAGCUGAUCAGACCGUAAACUUUGCUAAUUAUUCGCAGAGCGACAACUUGACAGCUUUCUCUUUCCUUGAUCAUCUCAUUGCAAUUGCUCGGGAACUUGCACAACAUACAGUAGAUUUCUAUCUCGUAUCUUACUCUAGUUUUCUAUAUGCCUUCUUAAAGCUGCUGGGAAAUUGUCAAACUAAUAGCUAACUUGGAAAAUAGUAAGAUUGGAAUCAGUAUAAUGCCCGACGCUUGAGGGGGAGACCGGUGUUCUGAACUUAAUUGCUUUUCGCACCUAACAGGUAAAUAUGUGAGAAGUUUAACUGUCCAUAUCAAUCUUAGUCAUACUUGUAAAAGUCUUUUUGAGGUAGUAGCCAUAUUAAACCACACAUCCUUUUCACUUCAAGAACGAGUGCAAACCUUUCAAAUUAUACAGCAGCCGAUAAAAAGAAAGAUAUACACGAGUUAAAAUAUAAGAUCCUACUACACUUCAUUCAAAGCUCUUCUGCUAACUAAACUGCCUUUUGUGAAGACAUAGUAUAGUCAAGCAUUCAUAUGGUGAUUUCCAAGUACAGAAUUAACUCUGAAUUCACAUCCUAGAAGAGAAACGAUCUCCAAACCUCAUGCUCUAAUUAAAUUUGGUUUGCACAAGUAAUUAUUUACCAACUGGAUUCAAAUAUGUGAGCAUGGCCAUCUGUCUACAAUAUUUUCGAUUAUGCCAAUGCAUUAGUUCUAUUGUUCGUCUCACUGACAAUCAACCUAUUUCUGUUUUGUGCCAGGCAAGUCUUCCAAGCAAAACAGCAGAAAGCAAGAAACUAAGCAGUAGUUUGUAAUCCUGUUGAGUUUACUGAAUGGGCAUCAUUGUUUACCGAAUGUUGAGUUCAUCAUGUUUCAGAAUUUUGAGGGUUCUCUCACUGUACACUGAAUCUUGUGUCUUUCCGAAUGAGCAAGAAAGCAAGCAAAACGUUGAGUUUACCGAA